GGUUAAGUUAGAAAGGGCGCACGGUGGAUGCCUUGGCACUAGGAGCCGAUGAAGGACGGGACGAACACCGAUAUGCUUCGGGGAGCUGUAAGCAAGCUUUGAUCCGGAGAUUUCCGAAUGGGGAAACCCACCACUCGUAAUGGAGUGGUAUCCAUAUCUGAAUACAUAGGAUAUGAGAAGGCAGACCCGGGGAACUGAAACAUCUAAGUACCCGGAGGAAGAGAAAGCAAAUGCGAUUCCCUGAGUAGCGGCGAGCGAAACGGGACCAGCCCAAACCAAGAGGCUUGCCUCUUGGGGUUGUAGGACACUCUGUACGGAGUUACAAAGGAACGAGGUAGAUGAAGAGGUCUGGAAAGGCCCGCCAUAGAAGGUAACAGCCCUGUAGUCAAAACUUCGUUCUCUCCUGAGUGGAUCCUGAGUACGGCGGAACACGUGAAAUUCCGUCGGAAUCCGGGAGGACCAUCUCCCAAGGCUAAAUACUCCCUAGUGACCGAUAGUGAACCAGUACCGUGAGGGAAAGGUGAAAAGCACCCCGGAAGGGGAGUGAAAGAGAUCCUGAAACCGUGUGCCUACAAGUAGUCAGAGCCCGUUAACGGGUGAUGGCGUGCCUUUUGUAGAAUGAACCGGCGAGUUACGAUCCCGUGCAAGGUUAAGCAGAAGAUGCGGAGCCGCAGCGAAAGCGAGUCUGAAUAGGGCGAAUUGAGUACGUGGUCGUAGACCCGAAACCAGGUGAUCUACCCAUGUCCAGGGUGAAGUUCAGGUAACACUGAAUGGAGGCCCGAACCCACGCACGUUGAAAAGUGCGGGGAUGAGGUGUGGGUAGGGGUGAAAUGCCAAUCGAACCUGGAGAUAGCUGGUUCUCUCCGAAAUAGCUUUAGGGCUAGCCUCAAGGUAAGAGUCUCGGAGGUAGAGCACUGAUUGGACUAGGGGCCCCUACCGGGUUACCGAAUUCAGUCAAACUCCGAAUGCCGAUGACUUAUCCUUGGGAGUCAGACUGCGAGUGAUAAGAUCCGUAGUCGAAAGGGAAACAGCCCAGACCGCCAGCUAAGGUCCCAAAGUAUACGUUAAGUGGAAAAGGAUGUGGAGUUGCUUAGACAACCAGGAUGUUGGCUUAGAAGCGUACCACCAUUUAAAGAGUGCGUAAUAGCUCACUGGUCGAGUGACUCUGCGCCGAAAAUGUACCGGGGCUAAACGUAUCACCGAAGCUGCGGACUGUUCUUCGAACAGUGGUAGGAGAGCGUUCUAAGGGCUGUGAAGCAAGACCGGAAGGACUUGUGGAGCGCUUAGAAGUGAGAAUGCCGGUAUGAGUAGCGAAAGAGGGGUGAGAAUCCCCUCCACCGAAUGCCUAAGGUUUCCUGAGGAAGGCUCGUCCGCUCAGGGUUAGUCGGGACCUAAGCCGAGGCCGAAAGGCGUAGGCGAUGGAUAACAGGUUGAUAUUCCUGUACCACCUCCUCACCAUUUGAGCAAUGGGGGACGCAGGAGGAUAGGGUAAGCGCGGUAUUGGAUAUCCGCGUCCAAGCAGUUAGGCUGGGAAAUAGGCAAAUCCGUUUCCCGUGAAGGCUGAGCUGUGAUGGCGAGCGAAUUAUAGUAGCGAAGUUCCUGAUUCCACACUGCCAAGAAAAGCCUCUAGCGAGGUGAGAGGUGCCCGUACCGCAAACCGACACAGGUAGGCGAGGAGAGAAUCCUAAGGUGAUCGAGAGAACUCUCGUUAAGGAACUCGGCAAAAUGACCCCGUAACUUCGGGAGAAGGGGUGCUCUGUUAGGGUGCAAGCCCGAGAGAGCCGCAGUGAAUAGGCCCAGGCGACUGUUUAGCAAAAACACAGGUCUCUGCGAAGCCGUAAGGCGAAGUAUAGGGGCUGACGCCUGCCCGGUGCUGGAAGGUUAAGAGGAGCGCUUAGCGUAAGCGAAGGUGCGAAUUGAAGCCCCAGUAAACGGCGGCCGUAACUAUAACGGUCCUAAGGUAGCGAAAUUCCUUGUCGGGUAAGUUCCGACCCGCACGAAAGGCGCAACGAUCUGGGCACUGUCUCAACGAGAGACUCGGUGAAAUUAUAGUACCUGUGAAGAUGCAGGUUACCCGCGACAGGACGGAAAGACCCCGUGGAGCUUUACUGCAGCCUGAUAUUGAAUGUUGGUACAGCUUGUACAGGAUAGGUAGGAGCCUUGGAAACCGGAGCGCCAGCUUCGGUGGAGGCAUCGGUGGGAUACUACCCUGGCUGUAUUGACCUUCUAACCCGCCGCCCUUAUCGGGCGGGGAGACAGUGUCAGGUGGGCAGUUUGACUGGGGCGGUCGCCUCCUAAAAGGUAACGGAGGCGCCCAAAGGUUCCCUCAGAAUGGUUGGAAAUCAUUCGCAGAGUGUAAAGGCACAAGGGAGCUUGACUGCGAGACCUACAAGUCGAGCAGGGACGAAAGUCGGGCUUAGUGAUCCGGUGGUUCCGCAUGGAAGGGCCAUCGCUCAACGGAUAAAAGCUACCCCGGGGAUAACAGGCUUAUCUCCCCCAAGAGUCCACAUCGACGGGGAGGUUUGGCACCUCGAUGUCGGCUCAUCGCAUCCUGGGGCUGUAGUCGGUCCCAAGGGUUGGGCUGUUCGCCCAUUAAAGCGGUACGCGAGCUGGGUUCAGAACGUCGUGAGACAGUUCGGUCCCUAUCCGUCGCGGGCGCAGGAAAUUUGAGAGGAGCUGUCCUUAGUACGAGAGGACCGGGAUGGACGCACCGCUGGUGUACCAGUUGUUCUGCCAAGGGCAUCGCUGGGUAGCUAUGUGCGGACGGGAUAAGUGCUGAAAGCAUCUAAGCAUGAAGCCCCCCUCAAGAUGAGAUUUCCCAUUCCGCAAGGAAGUAAGAUCCCUGAAAGAUGAUCAGGUUGAUAGGUCUGAGGUGGAAGUGUGGCGACACAUGGAGCUGACAGAUACUAAUCGAUCGAGGACUUAACCAA
rnacentral:rRNA from 1 species